GAUGAAGACGUAGCGAAAUGCGAUAAGUAAUGUGAAUUGCAGAAUUCAGUGAAUCAUCGAAUCUUUGAACGCACCUUGCGCUCCUUGGAAUUCCGAGGAGCAUGCCUGUUUGAGUGUCAUUAAUAUAUCAACCUUCUCUUUUUUGAGUUGUUUGGAUGUGGGGGUUUGCUGGCCUCUUAAAUGAUUCAGCUCCCCUGAAAUGCAUUAGCAGAACAACCUGUUCAUUGGCGUGAUAAUUAUCUAUGCUAUUGAAUGUGAGGGCAGUUCAGCUUUCUAACCGUCCUUGGACAAUUCAUCAUUAAUGUGACCUCAAAUCAGGUAGGACUACCCGCUGAACUUAAGCAUAUCAAUAAGCGGAGGA
rnacentral:misc_RNA from 1 species